rnacentral:rRNA from 1 species
GACGAACGCUGGCGGCGUGCUUAAUACAUGCAAGUCAACUGAACUGAGAGUAGCAAUAUUUUCAGGGAGGUGGCGCACGGGUGAGUAACACGUAGGCAAUCUACCUUUGGGACUGACAUAAUACCGGGAAAUCGGUACUAAUAUCAGAUAAUGCAGCGGCUCCGCAUGGAGACAGUUGUUAAAGCUUCGGCGCCUGAAGAUGAGCCUGCGGCCCAUUAGAUAGUUGGUAAGGUAACGGCUUACCAAGUCAACGAUGGGUAGCUGGUCUGAGAGGAUGAUCAGCCACACUGGAACUGAGACACGGUCCAGACUCCUACGGGAGGCAG